CCCAAACCGACACAGGUGGUCAGGUAGAGAAUACCAAGGCGCUUGAGAGAACUCGGGUGAAGGAACUAGGCAAAAUGGUGCCGUAACUUCGGGAGAAGGCACGCUGACACGUAGGUGAAGUGAUUUACUCAUGGAGCUGAAGUCAGUCGAAGAUACCAGCUGGCUGCAACUGUUUAUUAAAAACACAGCACUGUGCAAACACGAAAGUGGACGUAUACGGUGUGACGCCUGCCCGGUGCCGGAAGGUUAAUUGAUGGGGUCAGCGCAAGCGAAGCUCCUGAUCGAAGCCCCGGUAAACGGCGGCCGUAACUAUAACGGUCCUAAGGUAGCGAAAUUCCUUGUCGGGUAAGUUCCGACCUGCACGAAUGGCGUAAUGAUGGCCAGGCUGUCUCCACCCGAGACUCAGUGAAAUUGAACUCGCUGUGAAGAUGCAGUGUACCCGCGGCAAGACGGAAAGACCCCGUGAACCUUUACUAUAGCUUGACACUGAACAUUGAGCCUUGAUGUGUAGGAUAGGUGGGAGGCUUUGAAGUGUGGACGCCAGUCUGCAUGGAGCCGACCUUGAAAUACCACCCUUUAAUGUUUGAUGUUCUAACGUGGACCCGUUACCCGGGUUGCGGACAGUGUCUGGUGGGUAGUUUGACUGGGGCGGUCUCCUCCUAAAGAGUAACGGAGGAGCACGAAGGUUGGCUAAUCCUGGUCGGACAUCAGGAGGUUAGUGCAAUGGCAUAAGCCAGCUUGACUGCGAGCGUGACGGCGCGAGCAGGUGCGAAAGCAGGUCAUAGUGAUCCGGUGGUUCUGAAUGGAAGGGCCAUCGCUCAACGGAUAAAAGGUACUCCGGGGAUAACAGGCUGAUACCGCCCAAGAGUUCAUAUCGACGGCGGUGUUUGGCACCUCGAUGUCGGCUCAUCACAUCCUGGGGCUGAAGUAGGUCCCAAGGGUAUGGCUGUUCGCCAUUUAAAGUGGUACGCGAGCUGGGUUUAGAACGUCGUGAGACAGUUCGGUCCCUAUCUGCCGUGGGCGCUGGAGAACUGAGGGGGGCUGCUCCUAGUACGAGAGGACCGGAGUGGACGCAUCACUGGUGUUCGGGUUGUCAUGCCAAUGGCACUGCCCGGUAGCUAAAUGCGGAAGAGAUAAGUGCUGAAAGCAUCUAAGCACGAAACUUGCCCCGAGAUGAGUUCUCCCUGAGACUUAGAGUCUCCUGAAGGAACGUUGAAGACGACGACGUUGAUAGGCCGGGUGUGUAAGCGCAGCGAUGCGUUGAGCUAACCGGUACUAAUGAACCGUGAGGCUUAACCUUACAACGCCGAAG
rnacentral:rRNA from 1 species